rnacentral:rRNA from 1 species
CACGUAGGGGGCAAGCGUUGUCCGGAUUUAUUGGGCGUAAAGAGCUCGUAGGUGGUUCGGUAAGUCGGGUGUUAAACCCCCAGGCUCAACCUGGGGACGCCACUCGAUACUGCUGUGACUAGAGUCCGGUAGGGGAGCGUGGAAUUCCUGGUGUAGCGGUGGAAUGCGCAGAUAUCAGGAGGAACACCAGCGGCGAAGGCGGCGCUCUGGGCCGGUACUGACACUGAGGCGCGAAAGCUAGGGGAGCAAACAGG